AGGAUGAACGCUGGCGGCGUGCUUAACACAUGCAAGUCGAACGGUGUAGCAGGAGCUUGCUCCUGUGGAUCAGUGGCGAACGGGUGAGUAACACGUGAGCAAUCUGCCCUGGACUCUGGGAUAAGCGUUGGAAACGACGUCUAAUACCGGAUACGAGACGCGAAGGCAUCUUCAGCGUCUGGAAAGAACUUCGGUCCAGGAUGAGCUCGCGGCCUAUCAGCUAGUUGGUGAGGUAAUGGCUCACCAAGGCGACGACGGGUAGCCGGCCUGAGAGGGUGACCGGCCACGACUGGGACUGAGACACGGCCCAGACCUCCUACGGGAGCAGCAGGUGGGAAUAGUUGCACGAAUGGGCGCAAGCCUGAUGCAGCAACGCCGACGUGGACGGACGACGGUCCGUUACGGGUUACGUAACCGUCGUUUUAAGCGUAA
rnacentral:rRNA from 1 species